rnacentral:snRNA from 1 species
UGCCACGAUCCACUGAGAUUCAGCCCU